AACGGCGGCCGUAACUAUAACGGUCCUAAGGUAGCGAAAUUCCUUGUCGGGUAAGUUCCGACCCGCACGAAAGGCGUAAUGAUUUGGGCACUGUCUCAACGAGAGACUCGGUGAAAUUUUAGUACCUGUGAAGAUGCAGGUUACCCGCGACAGGACGGAAAGACCCCAUGGAGCUUUACUGCAGUUUGAUAUUGAGUAUCUGUACCACAUGUACAGGAUAGGUAGGAGCCUACGAAGUCGGGACGCCAGUUUCGACUGAGGCGCUGUUGGGAUACUACCCUUGUGUUAUGGCUACUCUAACCCGGAUAGGUUAUCCCUAUCGGAGACAGUGUCUGACGGGCAGUUUGACUGGGGCGGUCGCCUCCUAAAAGG
rnacentral:rRNA from 1 species